AAGCCCAAAGAAUGGUAUACCUCCUAUAGUUGGCAAGAAGAGGGCCUGCCUGGACCCCCAUUUUCUCUGUGAAACUCAAAUGACUAAAUUUGGUCUCACAUGAAAGGGAUCACAUUGAAACAUAAACUCUCAUUCCGGUUGCACCUCUUCCCCAGCACUGACCCGAGUAGGGAAUUGAGAAGGGACUUUCCAGAGACAUUAGCGUGCAGGGUGUGGAAAGGGAAUAAAAGCAUAUGCAAAUGGGGUUUUUAGUCUCUUCCUUUCUAAUCACAGACGGUGCAGGAGAGCAUGAGUGUUCCUCCUGAAGGCAGGCGGUGGAUGCUCCCCCUGACACUGCUUGUCAUCUUUCUUCUCUCUGACAUCAAGGCCUAGCGUGAAGGAGUGACACAUAGAAAAUAAAACCAUGCAAAGGGGUUGACUGAAGAGGAGGAAGGAAACAUGAGGAGGAAAGAAAAAAAAGCAUGGAAUUGGAAAAGAUAAAGUAAAAUGAAUUUUUAGGAUGCCACCGAGGAAGUGGUGAGCAUCAACAAGAUCCUUGGGAGAGAGUGUGCUGAAAUCACUCAACGAGCUUUUAUUAAGAUGUCAUAUGAAAUCUCAUCUUGAUCUGUGGGUAUAGAAAGGCAGACCAUGUUACCCCUAUCUAGAUUGAAUGCAAACACAUGGGAAAAGCAGCAGACUUCUUUUGAGGCGAGAAGAUGGGAGGCACUCUAGAGAACCUGUAUCUUCAGCUUUGAGAACUGAAUUCCAUGGGUUGUCUUUGUAUCAGACCUAUGAAACUCAGUUCUUCAGCUGGGAUAUCUCUGCCGUCACCGACAAAGGGUGAAAUAUGAAGCCUGGAACAUGAUUCUUCGGGAUCUUGGCAGAUCAGAAGCAAGGAGACAGAUUCUACAGGAACAAGCAUUGGAGAACAUUUUCUAAUGGAAAGAAUCAUGAACUAAGAGUCAAGAGUCCUGGUCCUGUAUUUGGCUACAUCAUGAACUGGCAGUAUGAUCUCAGGCAUGGCAUUUAAAUUGUUUGUAUUUUAAUUUUCUCACCUGUGAAAUGAAAACAGACCUUCACUUAAGUGUUACUCUAAUGCCUUAUUGGAGUAUGGAGAUAAUUCUAGGUUCUCAAAAGCAAUACCAGUGGAGGACAAGUUUUGGGAAAUCUAUGACUUGGAAAGACUUGAGUUUGAACCCAAUGACAGACUGUAUGGGUUGACUGAGGACCAGGCUAACUAAGCAUGUAGUUUUCUCACCAGAAUGUUGACAACCAAGUAAUGACUUUUUUUGCCCAGCACAACUCAUUCUAUUUACAAAAGUAUAGGGGAGUGGUGAAGAAAUAACAAUCUGUAUUGGUAAAGGGAGUGUCCUCAAUGAUGAUAUCAUAGAUCUUCUGAAAUAUAGAAGUGUUACACCAGAGUAUUAUGAAGAACAAAUAGGAUAAUGCAGAUGAAAGUUCUUUGAAAUGAAUAAAAUAUUAUACAAAAGCA
rnacentral:lncRNA from 1 species